CGGGCCUGUUUGUUUACACACAAAUAGUAUUUGUAUUCUCUGUCCUGUGUGUUCUGCUUUUGGUAUACAAGAUGGUUGUCUCAAUGCCUAGCUAACAUUACGAGACUGACACAAAUUUAUGAUGUGGAGGUAGUCUGGGACCCUGGGUGCCUUGACAAUUAGCAGGAGAUAAAUACUUGUCUUGAAUUUGCUUGCCUAUUCUGCCUAUGUUCCAGGGUUCUUGACCGCAUAUUAUGUAUUAAACUUGAUCUUCUUCUUCUUCUUCUUCUUUUUUUCAGUAAAUGUUAACUAUGGUUGCACAAGCUUUCAUUUUGAUCAAAUUUGACAAAGAGAGUGAAUAUGUAGCUUACCUGGGUGAGCAUUGGGAAUCCUGAUAUAGUCUUCAAAACAUCUAUGUCUCGGUCAUUGAAGAACAUCGGGUUUCUUUCCAAGACAGAAGUUGAAGGGAGCCAUUUUUGAUUCACCCACCAGUGUAGUAGUCCAGGAGCAUGAUUUGCAAACCACAUUGACCACCUCACAAGUUUCUUCCUGUAGUCAUCCUUUACCACUCUAUCAGGUAGAGAACGCCACCAGUAAUUCACAACCGGGACUACAAAAGACACACC